rnacentral:rRNA from 1 species
UUUAAUUGAAGAGUUUGAUCAUGGCUCAGAUUGAACGCUGGCGGCAGGCUUAACACAUGCAAG